GUGCCGGGACUGUUGAAUGUCAUUGCUGAUGCGUUGUCUCAUUCACAGUAGGAGAGAUUUCAGCAGGUGGCACCUGGCGCACGGGAGGAAGGGAUGUCUUGCCCGGACGAGAUGUGGCGGCUCGGGACAUCAUGCUUGGCGGACUGAUCAGGGAUUCCCUGGCACCUGCUAGCAGGGCGGCAUACAGUAAGGUGUGGGGGGAAUGGGACAAACUGGUGCAGCAGACAGGGGGUCAGCUCUCAGAGGAGGCGCGGUUGGAUGUGCUGCUGUGGCUCUUGUGUAGGUCAGUUACCACAGGGGCUUCGGCAGCGAUGAUGGGGCGUAAGCUGGCAGCGCUAGUAUUCUUGUUCUAAUUUAACGGGUGGGAGGAUGCUACCAAAAAUGUAAUGGUUAGACAGGCACUGAAAGGUUUCAGGAG